UGGGGAGAAGGUUGGUCCUUGGUCCGUUCAGACAGGGCACUCGUCUUUGUGGAUAAUCAUGACAACCAGAGGGGCCAUGGAGCUGGAGGAGCUUCCAUUCUCACCUUCUGGGAUGCCAGAUUGUACAAAAUGGCAGUUGGCUUUAUGCUUGCUCAUCCUUAUGGAUUUACACGAGUGAUGUCAAGCUUCAGGUGGCCAAGAAACUUUCAGAAUGGACAGGAUGCAAAUGAUUGGGUCGGACCACCCAAUGACAAUGGAGUGAUUAAAAGAGU